UUCAAUGCUCUUCAAGUAGAAUGUAGUGA
rnacentral:sRNA from 1 species